CAAAUACAUUAGAACAUAGGCAUCAGAAUUGAUUCUGUCAAGUUUUGGUUUGUUUCGAUAAAAGAAAUUUGCGCUAAAAGUAAAUUUCGAAAUCUACAAAUACGCUUAGAGAAAUGCCACCAUUUAUACGCGAAAAUAACGCACCAUGGUUUGUUUCAUCGGACCCUUACGAGGAGAUCCAGGAAAUGAUCCAACGUGUUACUGAAAUAGAAAUGGAAUUGGAUGCACUCUUAGCCGACUUGGAGCGUCUGCUGGCGCCGAGAGGUCGUAUGCAGCAAUUGCCUGUUCAGCAAGCGGAGCUCCCCACCGAUAUUCAAGAGGUCUCCGAUACAGUAGAUGAUCUUGGCCAACAGGAGAAUGCGGAGCAAACGGAGAAUACGGAGAAUACGGAGCCCCCCCGACGAGCUGAUUAAUAUCCUGAGAAACGAGAUGUUUGGCUACCCCGCGCCCAGAAACCAGCGUAUCCGAGCAAUCCAAAUUCCCUGCUGGGAAUAGUAUUUUCCGUUUUUGACAAAAUAACAAAUGACGACAAUGGCGUCCUCCCAUUCCAA
rnacentral:sRNA from 1 species